GCUCGAGUGGCCUAAUGGUUAAGGCUUCUGCCUUCUACCGUUUAAAGCGAGAUAAUCGUGGUGGGAGCAGGAGAUUGUGGGUUCGAGUCCCACCCCGAGCU